CUCAAGGAAGUGCUUUAUCCACGUGGACAAAAAGCGCUUCCUUAAGGGCACGCUUUGUGUCCAAGUGGACAAAUCGCUUCCUUGAGG
rfam:Gossypium raimondii Chr09_contig_148, whole genome shotgun sequence.